GCAAAAUAGAGAGCCCGACUCUGUGGUCCGACUUUCGCUCCUAAGUUUAUUCUGCUAAACUUGCUGGAAUUAUUCUGUCUCUCAUCAUAUAUACACAGAGGCAACUAUAUUGCGUUCCGAAGGUCCAGGCAUACUCAAAAGGUGAACUUUCCCACCAUUUCUCAAGCGCUUGAAGUGUACACCGUACAGAGGUUCAUCACCAUUUAAACGUUGACUUCGGCUAAGAUGAUCAUCUAAAGAAAUUAUUGGAUGCUAGAAGAAUCGUGGAGCUAACAGUGAGUUUUUCCUCAGAGAGCAGCUCUACCAAACAGCAUAUUUUUUAGUUUUUGAUUCAUUUAUCAUAUUUGUUUAGAACUUAAUCCAUAUGAACUAUGUUAAUUAAAAUAAAAAAAAGCGAUAAAAGAAUGCUAACUUAAAACGAAUGCUAGUCAUGCAGACUUGUUAGAGCUGUAACUAAUCUCUGAUUUUAACCUUAUUGGCUAAGGGCGUGGCAGUAUUCCUACUCAAAGGGAAUGAACUGUCAUAUGGUUGAAGCUGUACCAUAUAACAGUUUACUUUUUUAUCAGAAGUCUUGUAUUCAAGACUCUACAAAGCUUUAGAUUUUUAUCUUAAAAAAAGAUGAAAAUAGAUACAAAAUAAGAUCCAGACCAUUGAAAGCAUUGCUUUUUAUAAAGCAAUUACAAACUAAAAUAAAUAUAUCAAAAUUAUUGGCUAGCAAGAGGGCCAGAGUAUCAUUUGAAUCUGUGUCCUUGGGAGGGGGGAGGUUUUUUUUUUGUUUAGGUGAAGCCUGUCACACAAUUUUUGGUUAAGUCCUUUUUUUAUCACGAACAAAUGGUUCGUUAGUUUGAGAUUUUGGUAGUCUAGGCAUUGCUGGUCUGCGUUGGAGGAUUCAGUCACCUGGAGGUAUGUUUCCCCCUCUCCCCCUUUUGCUGAUAACUUUAUCAUGUGAUGCAUGGGCCAUAUACUGGUUACUGGUGAUCUGUACUUUCGAUGCAUUAAUAGUUUUCAUAUUUCCACAUUGAAAAGGAUUUUUUUAUUCUUAUUAAACAGUCAAAAAGCAUUGAAUGAAAAUAUGAAAGAGUUUAAUGAAAGGAAAUACUAUCAUUCCA